AUGGGCUGGAGAGAUGGCUUAGA
rnacentral:piRNA from 1 species